CCUACGGGCGGCAGCAGUGGGGAAUAUUGGACAAUGGGGGGAACCCUGAUCCAGCCAUGCCGCGUGUGUGAAGGAGGCCCUCGGGUUGUAAAGCACUUUCAGUGAGGAAGAACGCCUGGUGGUUAAUACCCAUCAGGAAAGACAUCACUCACAGAAGAAGCACCGGCUAACUCCGUGCCAGCAGCCGCGGUAAUACGGAGGGUGCGAGCGUUAAUCGGAAUUACUGGGCGUAAAGCGCGCGUAGGUGGCUUGAUAAGCCGGUUGUGAAAGCCCCGGGCUCAACCUGGGAACGGCAUCCGGAACUGUCAAGCUAGAGUGCAGGAGAGGAAGGUAGAAUUCCCGGUGUAGCGGUGAAAUGCGUAGAGAUCGGGAGGAAUACCAGUGGCGAAGGCGGCCUUCUGGACUGACACUGACACUGAGGUGCGAAAGCGUGGGUAGCAAACAGGAUUAGAUACCCCUGUAGUC
rnacentral:rRNA from 1 species